GCCUGCCUGUGGCAUAUGGAAGUUCCCAGGCCAGGAGUGACGAUGCUAAAUCUUUAACUAGUAGGCCACCAGGGAACUCCAGUUUUUAGCUUUUAUCUCAGUUUAGUUGUUUCUGCUCAGAGGCAAUGUCCUAAUAAAAAUUUCUUAUAUAUAAGUAUGUAAUGAAAAUUCAAAGAUAAAAUAGUGUCAUCAAAAGUAUUUGGGGGGAGUUCCCACUGUGGCUCAGCAGUAAAGAACCUGACUAGUAUCCAUGAGGACAUGAGUUCAGUCCCUGGCCUUGCUCAGUGAGUUAAGGAUCAGGCAUUGUCUUCAGCUUCAAUGUAGGCAGCAAAGGUGGCUUGGAUCUAGCAUUGUGGUAAAGGCCGGCAGCUACAGCUCUGAUUCAACUCCUAGCCUGGGAACCUCCAUAUGCCAUGGGUGAGGCUCUAAAGAGACAAAAAAAUAAUUUUUUUUUUGUAGGAGUUUCCGCUGUGGUGCAGUGGAGUAAGGAUCCAACAGAUCUGACUUGACUUCUGUCCCUGGCUGGAGAACUUCCAUAUGCUGCAGGUAUUAUAAAGAGGCAUAUGAGUGGAUGAGAUGACCAAGGAUAUGGAUGAAGAAAGAUAAAGACCAAAGAUGGAACCCUGGGGCACUCCAACAAUAAGAGAUCAGGAAGAAGAGUAAGACUCAGAAAAGAAGACCAGAAAGGAGCAAAUCAGAGGUGUGGAGAAAAGCUAAGAGAGAAUGGUAUCUUAGAAGCCAAAAGAAGAAGGUAAUGCAGAGAGGAUCAAGUCAUCAAGAGUCAAAUGCUUCUGAGGCACAAAUGUCUACGGAGUUCAUGGCUAGAGCAGGCAAAAGCCACCGUGGAGAAACAACAGUGGGAGAAAAGAUCUUGAACAGCAGGAUUUUGUAAAAAGACAACUAACAGCAUAAAUGCCACACUGGCUCGAGGCUCUUUCUGUAUUCUUUGGACCAGGCAACUUGAAGAUAACAUUCUAUUCCCAGACUGCUGAAAAUCAAAUACGGACUGGUGAGCUCAUCUCAGUUUUUCCUCUUCAUAUCUGACGGCCACAAGUAAAAAUGGGCUUGCUGUAAUCAUUAGAAAUUGUUGUAAAACUAAAUAAUUGCUUGUCCAAUUCUGCAGUGUUUUCAUCUGACAUUCAAUAUGCCCCCAAGGAUAAGGGGGCUGGUUGAUAAGCGCAGCAAUUUACCAGAAACACUGCAGAAGAUUUUAAGCGGGGAAAGCCAGCCAGAGUCCAGGAGGGGAGAAGGAGGAAGAAGAGAGGGUGCGGCCAACUUGAACAGAGAUGAACUGAGUCUUGGGGGAGGCUGUGUUCUCUAAAACCAACAGGGUUGUUUGGGCACUUCGUGUUUUAGAGAUAAUUAGAUGCCUAAAAGUGAAACCAUCACCCUGCCUUUAGCAGUUUGGAGCGCUGUCUUAUUAUCACAUGUUAUGAUAAUGCCAUGAAGCUAUAAUCUCAGGUUCAGACGGCUGACCCUACCUCUCCAUCUGAAGAGAAGGGGAUGGGGUGGGGAAAUGUGUCUAUAGAAGCUUUAAUAUCUGAGAAGAAUGUGCUUCUAUCAGCCCCAUUUAUCAUGUCAUGUUUACUGGGGAUGUCAGGUUAGUUAAACAGAUUCCUUGGCCCUGAUUUAUACUGUUUCCUCUGGAAUCCACAUUCUAUAAGCCUGCUUGGGUAUAUCAGUCACAAAUCUUGGUAGGUUAUAUAGGUAAACUACUCCAGACAAUGAUUAUUUUGUAGGGAGGAUAUGUGUGUGUGAUCAUCUAAAUUAUCUCUUGCAAGGAUAAGAUUAAUGCAAAUGAACUUAAAAGAGUAGAAAGUCUUAGAGUCUGAGGUGAAAGGAAAGACUUCUUGAAAUGCAGGAUUUCUAAUACAAAUACUGGGAAGGGCUUGUGAAAAAGGCCUGGUAUCUCCUUUAAAAAUAGUAUAGACACGGCUACAUUUGUGUGUUCAAUGCCUUUUCACUCUUGGGAGUAUUUUAUGCCUCUUUGAGAACUUCUUGGAAGGAAUGAAGUUCUUCCUAGAAAAGACACGUCAGGUUUUUCAUAUGGGAAUUGGGGGGCUUCUUAACUGUGCUGUGUAUCUCACAGUCAAGGAAGAACAGUGUGGUCAGAAAAACAAAGAUGGUCAGGAAUGAGCUGGGGACAAAUACCUAAUUGACAAAUAGAUAUGGCUCACAUCCUUGCGCAUCGAACUGACACUUGGAAUAUAACAGCCGUUCAGUAAAAACAUGCUGGAUGAAUAAGUGAAAGUCAAGUUGCUGGUAACUCCUAGCUCGGGCACCCUCUAGAUGAGGACGUGUUAGAGGGAGAAGUAUGGGACACUGUGGCAAGGAGAGUUGUGGUUGCUGCUGAGGUUUGCUCCCUGGGGAGUUUUGGAAUACAUUUCAGCUCCAAGAUGGAAUUUCAGCCUGCAUUUCCAUAAUCCCUUUAGGGGAAACAGGCUGACACCUGUUUAUGUUGUGAGAGUCCCAUGGGAAUACUUCACAGCAAACUGUGUUUCCCUCUCAGUAUCAGUUACCUGGACAAUUAAAGAGAACCCCUGCCCAGCCCUUAUUGCUUUAUGAAAUCCUUCUGGUAGCAGAAAUCAGGAUACCUGUCUGUAAACAGUCACAGGUGAGAAAAUGCUCAAGGUUUCAAUAGACAGGUAAAAGCCAGCCUUGGAACAUAUCCUACAAGCUGUUCAAAUACUUUCUCCAUGAGAAAUAACAGCCUCCUUAAUCCCAUAAUCUUCUCUAUCGCCAUCUUUUCCCAGUGCUCCAAACUGCAGUGUUUUGCUUGUAAUAAGAUCAUGUGUGAUGCUAAUUAGUACGUGAAUUGUGUUGACUUCUCUGUUUAUAAUGAUUAGUGUUUCAGUAUGUUCUUAGCACAUCAAAAUGGCAUUUUUUUCCCUGCCCAAUUGUUUACUGUCAGAGAGUAGCUUGUCGCUAGAGUUUGACAGUGGAAAAUACAAUACAGAGUAUUAGACAUUCUGAAAUAAGCAACAUAUCCCAUGCCAGAUUGUGUGGAGAGGGCAGAAAAGAGCUUCCAAAGAGUGAAUGUGUGAUUUAACUUGUGACUGAGAGCAGUUCAACUUCUGUUGAGCAAAGGAUGCUUGUAUUAUUAUUAAUUUCACAUCUGAGUGAUGACAGUGUGCUUAGUUCCAUAUGAGAUCACAGGACCAUGUACUUUCACUCAUCUGCCAUAAUUUUCAUGAACUUUUAACUAAUCACCCAACUGCUGCUGAGGCAUCAGUGCUUGUUCUCAAUGUGGAAUGUGUCCAACUUGGCUGCAAUCAUGUUCUUCAGUUACACUAAAAAAAUAGGUCUAAGUGAGGUCGAAUCUGCUAAUUUCAGUAAAUUUACAUGAGGCAGAUGAUGGGGAAUCAUUACUCUUUUGGAGAACCAAUUGCUUAAAUUAGAAGUUAAACUGUUUGAACAGGAGUUCCCACUGUGGUUCAAUGAGUUAAAGACCCAACAUAGUCUCCAAGAGGAUGCAAGUUUGAUCCCUGGCCUCGCUCAGUGGGUUAAGGAUCUAGC